GAAUUACUGGGCGUAAAGCGCAUGUAGGCGGCUGGUAAGUCGGACGUGAAAGCCCGGGGCUCAACCCCGGAAGGGGCGCUCGAUACUGCCGAACUUGGGUCCUGAAGAGGAGAGCGGAAUUCCCCGGUGUAGAGGUGAAAUUCGUAGAUAUCGGGAGGAACACCAGUGGCGAAGGCGGCUCUCUGGGCAGGUACCGACGCAGAGAUGCGAAAGCGUGGGAAGCAAACAGGAUUAGAUACCCUGGUAGUCCACGCCGUAAACGAUGACAACUGGGUGUUGCGGGUAUUGACUCCCGCUGCGCCGAAGCUAACGCGUUAAGUUGUCCGCCUGGGAAGUACGGCCGCAAGGCUAAAACUCAAAGGAAUUGACGGGGGCCCGCACAAGCGGUGGAGCAUGUGGUUUAAUUCGACGCAACGCGAAGAACCUUACCUGGGCUCGAAAAUGCAAGGACCUGGCUGAAAGGCCGGGGUGCCCGCAAGGGAGCUUGUAUCAGGUGCUGCAUGGCU
rnacentral:rRNA from 1 species